rnacentral:pre_miRNA from 1 species
CACACACUGGGGAUCUUGUUAAAAUGUGGAUUUUGAUUCAGUGGGGCUGAGCUGAGGCCUGAGAUUGCGCAUUUUUAACAAGCUCCCAAGUGAUACUGA